GCGGCCCGGCCGGGUACGAACCCGCGCCGGGUUUGAUUCCGCACGCGGCGGCCUACGAGGCGCGGGAAACGACUCGCGACGUCCUUCCAGAGCUCCCGCUCCGCGUGCACGCUGCCGCAGGAACGGGUUGAGGGCCGAGUGGGAUCGAGGCUUUCGGGGCGCGGGACUGAGGGGCACUGACCGAUUAAAGAACUGGCUCAGUGCAUUUCUGUGGCUGUCAGAUCGCAUGCCACUCCGGGGCAGCCGGUCCUUGAGGAACCUUAUUAAGGCCGGGGCAUGCCUGGUUCAGGCUUCCCAUCAAUUAUGGAGGGUCGAAAGGGUGUCGUCCACCCUGAGUAGGAACGAAGACCUCCCCUUGCCCUUUACUUCCCAGCUCAUUGCAAUUCAAAGCGAAGCCCUCCUGGGCUACCAGCGGGCCUGUCCUGCUAUCCUAUUGCUUCAGUAGAGCUCAAGGCUUACUUGCCCUAGUCUCUAACUCCAGCAGCUAUGACUCAAAAUCAGAGCAGAGACUUGAAGAACGUUGAAUAAUGAGCCUCUUCUGCAGUCAUGUGGCUGAGCUGACUACAGCAACAUGGAGAGUGCCAAGCAGAGGGGGCCAGGUAGACAAGCGUGUAAACUGAAGUGUAACCUCCACCAGCUUUGUCGUAAAUUCUUUGUAGAAUGACUUACUACUCUCCUCAGUUACUCCCUGCCUGCCCAUUCCUGCAUCUUGGUUUCUUCAUCUUCCCCCAUGAUCUAGGAUAAUAUGAUCUCUUCUCCUUCCCCCUGAUUAUUUAAAUCUUCCUCUCACCUCCCUACAUUUUUCACUUGUUAUUUACUUUUUUUUUUUUUUUUUUUUAGAUAGGGUGUCAUUUGACCUAAGCUGGCCUUAACCAUGCUAUGUAGUGAGGAUAAUCUUGAAUGCCUUACUGGUGUGAGCCAUCACUUCUAGUUUAUGUGGUACUGGGGAUAGAAUCCAGGACUUUGUACGUGAUGAGAGCAUUGUGGAUGAGAAUGGUUCAUGUGCUUGAAUACUUUGUCCCCAUUGUUGGAACUGUUUGGGAAGGAUUAGGAAAUGUGCCCUUAUUAGAGAAAGGGUUUCACUAGGAUCAGGCGCUGAGGUUUCAAAAGACACCAUUUAGAGUUAGCUUUCUAGACCUCUUACUUGUGCAUCAAGAGGUGAGCGCUCAGGUGUUGAGGCCAGCAUGCCUUUGUUCCACCAUCAUGGACUUCAAACCUAGGAAACCAUAAGCACAGUGAAACACUUUUGUUUUGUCGGUUGUCUUGGUCAUGGUGCUUUAUCCCAGAAAGAGAGGCAACUACAACACCAACAAGCAAGUGUUCUACCAAGUGAGCUAAACUGCUAGCCCUGAAAGCCUACUGUCUUUGUAAAACCUGCUCCACCCACUCCAGCCUAGAUGACUCUUCUGCCUAGGGAUUCUUGCAAAGUGAUUUGCCGGCUUUUUGAGAUGAGAUCUUCGGUAGCCCAAACUAUCCUCACUAUGGAGGUGAUCUCCUCAGCCAAGACCUGAAGCAGCUGGAAGGCCCUCGCUGGGACAUCAGUCCCAAGCUCUGGAAUGCCUCAGCCUCCAAACUGUGAGAAACAAAGAUAUUCUGUUAGGACAGCAGAAAAUGAACUGAGCCAUUUCAGUUUCAGAAGAUGGAGUAGAGGCACGGCCUGUGCUGGGACCAGCAUGACAGAAAUGUCAGGAGAUGUCUGGAAUUAAGAGAAUUACAAAGAGAAGGGGGAAACAUACGAAGAAACGCAGGUCUUUGGGUUUGUCAAUAUAUGUGCAUAUUACUUGAUACAUUAAAAAGCAUCAUUUCUAUU
rnacentral:lncRNA from 1 species